GGGACCUGCAGGUUUGCUCCUUGACAGAUGAAGACAUCCAGACGGCAGCAAAACAUGCAGCAGCUGCCUUCCCCACACCAGCUCAAGUGUCAGAGCCGCCCUGUGGAAGACUGACUAUAUCUGGAAUAAAGAAAGGGACCAUGCUGGGAAGUUUUGGGCAGAGGUCAGCGCAGAAGUACUGGUCAAGGAAGAAGAACGCUUCCACCACUUGCGGAAGAGCACGGCGAGAGGUGACUUUUCAUUCUUGGCAAUGGAGACAAGUAAGAAGAAUGGAGGCUGUGUUUGGAAGGCCAAUUCACAGUUGAUCAGACAUAAACACUCCAUGGUCUUGGCCAUGCAAUGGCUAGAAAAGAAGAAGAAAGUUGGACCAGAAAAGGCUGGAACCACAGCAAUAACAGUACUGAGAGUGCAGAACUCCUAUAUUUCACAUAUCAGUUUUGGUGUCAGUUGUUAUCCCUUCUUCACAAUUACAGCUUGAGAGCCCUGAUUCAUGAAACUAAAA